AAUGGGGGAAACCCUGACGCAGCAACGCCGCGUGGGUGAUGAAGGCCUUCGGGUCGUAAAGCCCUGUCGGGAGGGAAGAAAUGAUUGAGAGCUAAUACCUCUUGGUCUUGACGGUACCUCCGAAGGAAGCAUCGGCUAACUCCGUGCCAGCAGCCGCGGUAAUACGGAGGAUGCAAGCGUUAUCCGGAUUUAUUGGGUUUAAAGGGUGCGUAGGCGGUUGGAUAAGUCAGCGGUGAAAGUUUUCUGCUUAACAGGAAAAAUGCCGUUGAUACUGUCUGGCUAGAAUAUGGUUGCUGUGAGUGGAAUGUGUGGUGUAGCGGUGAAAUGCUUAGAUAUCACACAGAAUAUCGAUUGCGAAGGCAGCUCACAAAGCCAUUAUUGACGCUGAGGCACGAAAGUGUGGGGAUCAAA
rnacentral:rRNA from 1 species